rnacentral:ncRNA from 1 species
AAGAGCCUUAUGAAUCGAGAGGUUCACGUACGGUUCUGUGAGAACCUGAAGGUGAAACCCCUUCGGGCUACUUGAC